rnacentral:lncRNA from 8 species
AACUUUGUUUGGUGAGCUCGCGACAUCUAAAGCGGCCUGUUUAUGUGGAGGUUUGUGCGCGACACUUGGGAGACAUUAUUUUUUUAAGUUGAGUCAAUUUGGAUGGAAAGAUAAGCUUGUGUUUUUGUGGUCCUGCGGAGAAAGUUAGAUCCAGUUAUUAUCUGUAAGGAGAACAAUUCUUUUGAAGACAAAAAAAAAACCUUUUGAAAAAGGACAUGGAACAAGAAUGGACAGUGCAUCACGGUCUUAAUCUGUUUGUGACAUUGUUCUAGAGAGCAUCUGCAUCACCCCCAGUGUGUAACCGAUAGGCCUAGCCAUUCUCUCCGUGGAUAGAUGCACAAAAGCAGAAGAUAUCUGCAGCACGGAUGACAUUAUACCCAGUUCAAAAGCAUUCGCUGGAAAAGUAUGCAGAAGUCCCCCUCCAUUGAAAAACGCUUUUAAUGCCGGCCAAUGAUUACAGCCUUAUCACCAGACAGUAUGCUGUGAGGUGGGAGUGCUCUGCUCCCUUCGUUUCAGAGGAUGGACCCAGGCUUUAUCACAAGGUAAUUCUCCCACUCUCACUAGCCCAUCUUGAAUUAUUGAACUGUUAUUCCCAUUCUAACCCAGGCCCCGGGAGAGGGAAACGCAACAGAAAAAGCUUUAAAAAACCCACUAAUUUACAUCAAUUUAUUAGAUCUUAAUUACACGUGUUUGCCAAACUGGGAAAUAGUGUUACUGUGUCAUUAAAUAGAAAAGGAAAUAAAUGAAUCAUUGGCAAUCUGCUAAAUCAAAUCGGGGUGAGGUUCAGGUGUGGAAAUACUAAUUGAAUUGAAGGUUUAUUCAGCAAGCCCUUAUCAUUUAUAAGAACUAUGGGCAUUUUCAGUUAAGUCAAUCUCUGGCUGCACACUAUAAUCUCCUGGUCACGCUUCAGCAACAGGCUAUUAUGAUUCAGUAAUUAUACACAGUAUUAAAUACUGCUGAGUUCAGAAUUAAAUGUGUGUUUUAUUUCCCCCCCAACAAAUUGCAAUAGUGGGGGAGUAACAUUUAUAAGGUUCAUGAUUAUGAGAGGAUGAAAAACAUAACUUUGUGUGCUCAAUGGACUGUACGCUUACACACUUACUAUCUACAGAUGAUAACUUUUCCCUUAACUUAUUCAUAUAAUUCAUAGCUAUUUGCGUGUUUGUGUCAUAAAAUGAGAUGCUCUUCAGAAUGAUUCGCGCGGUUCACUGCUAGAAUGUUAUCUAAGGCAAUGACAGCCCCACAAUAGGAGCACACCACAGUGUUGAGAGAUGCGCAUACUUUCAGUCAAGGCAGCAGCCUGUCUCUCUCAGAAGCGUCAUUGCGCACUUGUCAAUCAGCGGACGGUCCUUUUGACGCGGAUGAUCUCCACCUGAUCAUCAGGUUUCCUCCAUGUUGAGACAAUGAGCGGUCUUUCAGUGCCGAGGGCACUAUUUCCCGGACACAAUGAUACAACAUUAUUCUCGCUCGUUUAGGCUUAUUAAAUUUGAAAACGUAUAUCACACCAACUGAGAGAAAACGACAGCAGUCAAUGGAGCUGUAUUUCCCUUCUAAAUAGCGCAUCCUAUUGAGUUCAUCCAAUGUCAUUCAAUCACAACUUUUUUUCUUCCUUAAUUGUUAUCAUGCAUGAUUUAUAGCACAUUAUCUCAACGUAUCGCAUCAACCCCUCCUUGUAUUACUGUUGAUUUCAACACUGUAAUAGCUGAUGGGAUGUGCUGGACAUGAGAGUUUUCAUGAGAAUUAAUUGAAAUUGAUGAUAAGACUUUAUAUAGGACACAAUUUAUAUGCAACAAUAAUAAUAAUGAUAAUGAUACUACUACUACUACUACUAAUAAUAAUAAAACAACUAACAAUAAAAGAAUUACAGGAGGAAUAAGACUUAACAUUGCCACUGUUCAGUAUCUUACCAGCUGAGGUAUCAGAAAUCCUGACUCAGCCUACAAGUGCAAAUAAUUCUUGAAAGACGACUUUAUAUUUAAUUCAAUUUGGCAUUAAUUCAUACACUAUAUCAAAUAAAACGCACUGACUAUAAAUCGGCAUUGUAAAUUGUUUGAUGCAGCCUUAUUUUCACUUUCAUUUUAAUAAUUAUGCACAACAGAGAAGGUACGGGAACAAACCACUUAAACAUACAAUUUACUCAACGAGUCUUUCAGAUAACUGUAAUUGCUUAGUUGAAUAUUCGACAACCUAAUUUCGGUUGUCGAUUCGCCGCCCUUGGGAAAGUCUUUUGAAGUGAAAGUGAAAGGG